rnacentral:rRNA from 1 species
UACGUAGGGUGCAAGCGUUGUUCGGAAUUACUGGGCGUAAAGGGCGCGUAGGCGGGUGUUUAAGUCAGAGGUUAAAUCCCAGAGCUCAACUCUGGAACUGCCUUUGAUACUGGACACCUAGAGUACGGGAGAGGUGUGUGGAACUCCGAGUGUAGAGGUGAAAUUCGUAGAUAUUCGGAAGAACACCAGUGGCGAAGGCGACACACUGGCCCGUUACUGACGCUGAGGCGCGAAAGCGUGGGGAGCAAACAGGG